UGGGGAAGUAUUGGGCGAAUGGGCGGAAAGCCUGACCCAGCAACGCCGCGUGAAGGAAGAAGGUCUUCGGAUUGUAAACUUCUUUUAUGAGGGACGAAGGACGUGACGGUACCUCAUGAAUAAGCCACGGCUAACUACGUGCCAGCAGCCGCGGUAAUACGUAGGGGGCAAGCGUUAUCCGGAUUUACUGGGUGUAAAGGGAGCGUAGACGGCAGCGCAAGUCUGAAGUGAAAGCCCGGGGCUCAACCCCGGAAUGGCUUUGGAAACUGCGCGGCUAGAGUACCGGAGGGGUAAGCGGAAUUCCUAGUGUAGCGGUGAAAUGCGUAGAUAUUAGGAGGAACACCAGUGGCGAAGGCGGCUUACUGGACGGUAACUGACGUUGAGGCUCGAAAGCGUGGGGAGCAAACAGGAUUAGAUACCCUGGUAGU
rnacentral:rRNA from 1 species